UGCCGGAUCUGUGAACAGAGGGUGGGGAGAGAGGAGCGGCUGCUUCGAUGGGGUGCAGCGGAGGGAGGCAGGGCGCGGCGGCGGUGCCGCUGCUGUCCGGCCACGGCUGGAGAAGAGGAGAUGGGUCAUUUCCGAUUUGAACUUUGAGCGGCGGAAGUGUGGGAGUCGGAGUCGCUGGUCGGCGGCGGCUUUUGCUGCUGUGCACCGGAGAUUCAGAGGAAGAGAGAUUAGAGGAGAGGGAGAUGAGAGUCAAGGGGGCGGCGGCGUAUCCGGCGGUGGCUGCCGUCGUCCGUCGGAAGAGAGAAGGAUGAAGAGGGAGGCUGGGCGGCAGUCCGCCUCUCCUGCUGCUGACCGACCGAAGAUGGAGAGGGGAGUCAGGGGACGGCGGUCGGGUGGUGGAGACGGAGCUGCUACAGCCGCCGGAAAAGAUCGAGAGGAAGGGAGAAAGUGCAGCAGCUGCGUGUGUGCGUGUGUUUGUGUUAGUGUGUGUUGUGUGUGUGUUUUAAGAAAGGAAAUAGGGAAGGAGAUAGGUUUGGGCUGGGUUUUGGGCUUUGGGCUUGAACUCGGGCCGGUUUUUUUUAAAUUGAGAGAUGGGCCUCUGAUUAUUUGAGUUUGGGCAGCCCCUUGUAUUAAUUUACUUGGGCUGCGAUUUUUAUUUAGUAACUUGGGCUCAGUUUAUUUAAUUAAAACAGCUGGGCCUUGUUACUUGGAUUGUGCAGAUUUUUUUUUAGUAAAUGGACUGCAUUAUUUUAU
rnacentral:lncRNA from 1 species